rnacentral:rRNA from 1 species
AGAGUUUGAUCCUGGCUCAGAAUGAACGUUGGCGGCGUGGAUUAGGCAUGCAAGUCGAGCGCUAAACGUAGCAAUACGUGGUGAGCGGCGAAAGGGAGAGUAAUACACAGGUACCUACCCCCGGGCCUGGGAUAGCGGCGGGAAACUGCCGGUAAUACCAGAUAACGUCUCCGGACCAAAGGUGCAAUUUCACCUGGGGAGGGGCCUGUGGCCUAUCAGCUUGUUGGUGAGGUAACGGCUUACCAAGGCUAAAACGGGUAUGGGGCGUGAGAGCGUGCCCCCACUCACUGGGACUGAGACACUGCCCAGACACCUACGGGUGGCUGCAGUCGAGAAUCUUCGGCAAUGGGCGCAAGCCUGACCGAGCGACGCCGCGUGCGGGAUGAAGGCCUUCGGGUUGUAAACCGCUGUCGUAGGGGAGGAAGGGCCUGUGAAGAACAGGACUGACCGAUCCUAGAGAAG